GGCAGUGUGGUGUAGUGGUUUGAGUGUUGGACUAUGGGUCUGGAGACAAGGGUUCGAAUCCCUGCUCAGUCA